rnacentral:rRNA from 1 species
UACGUAGGGGGCUAGCGUUGUCCGGAAUCAUUGGGCGUAAAGCGCGUGUAGGCGGCCCGGUAAGUCCGCUGUGAAAGUCGGGGGGCUCAACCCUCGGAUGCCGGUGGAUACUGUCGGGCUAGAGUGCGGAAGAGGCGAGUGGAAUUCCUGGUGUAGCGGUGAAAUGCGCAGAUAUCAGGAGGAACACCAAUGGCGAAGGCAGCACUCGUGGGACGU